GGCUGUGACUCAGUGGAAGAGCAUCUAUCUGCUUGGCAUGCAGAAGAUCCUAGGUUCAAUCCCUGCCAUUGCCA